GGGGCAUUGGCGCAGCUGGGAGCGCGCGUGACUGGCAGUCACGAGGUCAGGGGUUCGAGCCCCCUAUGCUCCACCA
rnacentral:tRNA from 1 species